rnacentral:rRNA from 1 species
AGCGAACGCUGGCGGCAGGCCUAACACAUGCAAGUCGAACGAACCCUUCGGGGUUAGUGGCGGACGGGUGAGUAACACGUGGGAACGUGCCUUUAGGUUCGGAAUAACUCAGGGAAACUUGUGCUAAUACCGAAUGUGCCCUUCGGGGGAAAGAUUUAUCGCCUUUAGAGCGGCCCGCGUCUGAUUAGCUAGUUGGUGAGGUAAAGGCUCACCAAGGCAACGAUCUAUAGCUGGUCUGAGAGGAUGAUCAGCCACACUGGGACUGAGACACGGCCCAGACUCCUACGGGAGGCAGCAGUGGGGAAUCUUGCGCAAUGGGCGAAAGCCUGACGCAGCCAUGCCGCGUGAAUGAUGAAGGUCUUAGGAUUGUAAAAUUCUUUUACCAGGGACGAUAAUGACGGUACCUGGAGAAAAAGCCCCGGCUAACUUCGUGCCAGCCGCCGCGGUAACAC